UACAGAGGCCCCAAGCGUUAUCCGGAAUCACUGGGCGUAAAGGGUGUGUAGGUUGUUUUGUUAGUCGUCUUUUAAAUCUCCCGGCCUAACCGGGAAGCAGGAGACGAAACGGCAGAACUAGAGGAUGCGAGGGGUGCGUGGAACUCAUGGAGUAGGGGUGAAAUCCGUUGAUAUCAUGGGGAACACCAAAAGCGAAGGCAGCGCACUGGCGCAAUCCUGACACUGAAACACGAAAGCGUAGGUAGCGAAUGGG
rnacentral:rRNA from 1 species